CCUACGGGAGGCAGCAGUGGGGAAUUUUGGACAAUGGGCGCAAGCCUGAUCCAGCAAUGCCGCGUGAGUGAAGAAGGCCUUCGGGUUGUAAAGCUCUUUUGUCAGGGAAGAAAAGGGAUUGGCUAAUAUCUGGUCCUCAUGACGGUACCUGAAGAAUAAGCACCGGCUAACUACGUGCCAGCAGCCGCGGUAAUACGUAGGGUGCAAGCGUUAAUCGGAAUUACUGGGCGUAAAGCGUGCGCAGGCGGUUUUGUAAGACUGUCGUGAAAUCCCCGGGCUUAACCUGGGAAUGGCGAUGGUGACUGCAAGGCUAGAGUUUGGCAGAGGGGGGUAGAAUUCCACGUGUAGCAGUGAAAUGCGUAGAUAUGUGGAGGAACACCGAUGGCGAAGGCAGCCCCCUGGGUCAAAACUGACGCUCAUGCACGAAAGCGUGGGGAGCAAACAGGAUUAGAUACCCUGGUAGUCCACGCCCUAAACGAUGUCUACUAGUUGUCGGGUCUUAAUUGACUUGGUAACGCAGCUAACGCGUGAAGUAGACCGCCUGGGGAGUACGGUCGCAAGNUUAAAACUCAAAGGAAUUGACGG
rnacentral:rRNA from 1 species